GGGAAAGACUAAGUCAUGAGUUUUACUUGUUAGGGUCACACAAUUGACCAUAUUCCAAACCACUGAAACACUGAGAAACACUACAAUACUUUUUCCUAGUAACAAUACUCUUUUAUCAACUAAUAACAACAAUAUGUAAUCCUGCACUCUCAAAAGACUACUCAAAAUACAUAAUUUCUUUCCAACACCAGGAAUAAUAGACUUCACUCCAACAAUCUGAAUUCACAUAUUUUUUGUAAUCACAGACUUUUUCUAUCGAAACACAUACACAGCUCUCAAUAAACAACAAUCAUAAUCUUCCAAUAACUCCUCAUAUAUUUCAAUCACUCAGUACUCCAAUUACAUAAUCAAUAACUCAUAAAUCAAUCUCUGAUUUAUUUCACAAACUCACUUCUCAGUAUUCAGAAACUAUCCAUUACCCUUCAACAACAAAGAAACAAAGAGACAAAGAGGUAGCACCAAGCUUAU
rnacentral:lncRNA from 1 species